CUUGGACCAAGUAAGUGCUGCAGCGCGGGAAUUCUUCAGCAGGGGGGCUCGAGCACUGCAACCUCUCUAGGUUAGGACCUCGUCGCUUGGAAAGCGUACUGCCUCGCGGUUAGGACUCGUCAAGUAAAUCUCCAGGUAGAGGACGGGGCAAGGGCAAGGGCAAGCUGGCGAGCGACCCGAAGUGAGACCGUGGAGGGCCAUAGGGACUACCGCUUCCGCUUAUUCUUAUUUCAGAUUUUCGCAUUUGAAUUUGAGUACUUUUCAUCACUUACCAUCUUUUAUGUAGAUAGGGCCCGAGUAGGAUUUCAGAACGCUUUUACAUUUUUGCAUGACUACCUUGUUUAAAUUUUAUAAAUAAAAUUUCUUAAACCGUA